AUUUUUUUUUUGCUACAAAAAU
rnacentral:miRNA from 1 species